rnacentral:rRNA from 1 species
AGGCUGAAACUCGCCUCUUUGAAGUCGGAAUCGCUAGUAAUCGCAGAUCAGCAUGUUACGGUGAAUACGUUUCCUGGUCUUGUACACACCGCCCGUCAAACCAUGAGAGUCGCCAACACCCGAAGUCCGCUUUGCGGCCUAAGGUGGGGGAGAUGAUUGGGGUUAAGUCGUAACAAGGUAGC